GUCCUUAACUGACGCUAAAGCUCGAAAGUGCGGGUAUCGAACAGGAUUAGAUACCCUGGUAGUCCGCACGGUAAACGAUGGAUGCCCGCUGUUGGCGAUAUACUGUCAGCGGCCAAGCGAAAGCGUUAAGCAUCCCACCUGGGGAGUACGCCGGCAACGGUGAAACUCAAAGGAAUUGACGGGGGCCCGCACAAGCGGAGGAACAUGUGGUUUAAUUCGAUGAUACGCGAGGAACCUUACCCGGGCUUGAACUGCCAGCGAACGAUUCAGAGAUGAUGAGGCCCUUCGGGGCGCUGGUGGAGGUGCUGCAUGGUUGUCGUCAGCUCGUGCCGUGAGGUGUCGGCUUAAGUGCCAUAACGAGCGCAACCCCUUUCUCCAGUUGCCAUCAGGUUAAGCUGGGCACUCUGGAGACACUGCCACCGUAAGGUGUGAGGAAGGUGGGGAUGACGUCAAAUCAGCACGGCCCUUACGUCCGGGGCUACACACGUGUUACAAUGGGUGGUACAGAGAGUCGGUCGCUGGCAAUAGCGAUCCAAUCCUAAAAGCCAUCCUCAGUUCGGAUUGGGGUCUGCAACCCGACCCCAUGAAGCUGGAUUCGCUA
rnacentral:rRNA from 1 species